AAAAUUAAAAAAAAUCACUUGUGCCCGCAAACAUUUAACACUUUAACCAAAUAUUACACUUUUUUACCUCCAACACUUAAUAAAAAUCACAAAACCCACUUCGACCUAAUUACAAACCAUUCUUGCUUCUCUCCCGGCUUGACCCGUCGUCUCCAAUGGCUCCGCCGCUCCGGUGAAGAAGAAGAACAAGAAGCCUCUAGAUAAGGCAAAAAAGUUGGCGAAGAAAUCGAAGAGGAAACCCAGGAGAAUCAACGAAAUUCCUUUGGAUCCGGAGGCUAUCGACUGGUGGGAUACUUUCUGGCUCCGAAACUCUUCUCUCUCAGCGUCGGAAGCCAAAGCAGCGGCAAAUCCAGCGUUCUCGUAGCACUCGUCGGCUGUGAUUUUCUCCCUCGUGAGAAUGAAGGCGAGAAACCCAGAUUCUGAUAGAUCUAGUAAUGGUGAAGAUGAGACAAUUAAGAACGGAGAAGAUGAUUGGGUGACAAAGUUUUAGAGAUUGUAAAGAGGUUUUUGUGAUUUGAUCUGCUAUGAAUUGAAUUAAAGGAGUUUCGAUUUGACAGAACAAAUGGAGUUGCGACGGUCAUAUGCGGAAGAUGCCGAAGAAGAAGGAGAAGCUGAGAGGCGGGUAAGCAGAUCUUCGUGAUGGUCUUUUAUAUUCUCUGAAACUAGGAUUCAUAGGACUAGAGUAGUGGAUUGUGAAAGUAGAACUCAAGAAAUAAAUCAAGUAACAUAGAAGACUUGAGAUUACCAUCGUGAUGUUCAUGUUUGGAUUUUUGUGGAGACUACUCAACAACUACUUCUCCAACUCUGAUCUGAUGAUAAAGAUUCAUGGCCUGGACAAUGGGACAUCUCUAGUGCUGGCCAUAUAUCAGAUGGUGAUCCAUCGCUUUUAUCCGCACAGCGGGAGCUCCAGGAAGAGCUUGGCGUCAAACUCCCAAAUGAUGCAUUGAAAAGAUAUUCGUUUUUCUACAGGAAUGGUUUGUUUCUUGGCCUAAGUAAAAUCUCCCUUCUUAUCAUCAACGUUUAUUUUUACUUAAAUAAUAAUUCAAGAAUCCAUUUCAUCUUUGUUCUGUUUUUAAACAACAUGGGUGUUAACGUUGCCUGUGGGAAUGAAAGACGAGACAAAAGGAAGCAUGGUUCUUCUCAUAAGAAUGUGUGUCACAUUGUAUUUUUUCUCUGGUAAGUAUAGAUCAAUCGAAUCCCAUUUGCAAAGAUGGAAAACAGGUUAAUGCUGCAAGGUAUGCUUAUCUCAUACGAGAGCAGCGCAAGUGUUAGAUGCUUCUCCUUUCAUAUAAUUUCCAAGCUUAUCUUCAACUCCUCCAACAAUCUCAGUCUUCUUCUCCAACUCAGAGGUAUCCACUUCCAUGGACUCUUUCUUGUCCGUCACAACUUCUCAUCCUCUUUGCUCAGAUUCAAGAAUUCAACAUUGAGAAUUUUGAGGUCGUUGAAGGAGAGAAUAAAAAGACUAGACAAGAGUAAGAGAAAAAGAAGAACCAAAUGGAUGUCAAAAGGAAGAUGUGAGCAAGGAAAAGAAAAAGAAAAAGAAGGAAAAUGUGAGCUCAUUCUACCGUCCUUGUUAGAUAAUGAUUCUGGUUUUGUAUGACUUAGUUUGAAACUUGUAAUGUAUGUUGUGGAUGAUUUAUGAAAUAAAAUAAUUCUAUGAAAAUUGGAUAUUUUGAAAA